AGAAAAUUCAACCGAUUUGCAUCCGGCUUGACAAGUUGAUACAGUACCUCGGAACGAUACGAGAUUUCGUCUGUGGAGAUCGAGAGAAACACUAAAUUAUUCAAUUAUCGAUCGAGUCAGCUUGCCGGAAAAAGCCUCGUAAAGCGUUUCUUCUAUCUUGAGGGAUUGGGCUUCGUAAGACCGGAAGAGAAUCAUGGGUAUUCCGAUACAAUUUGACUGAAACUCCGGAGAGAUACUCGAUUCGUGGACUUCCGUUGGUGCGAGAAUCGAUUCGAUAAUGGGACGCCACCGAAGGAUUUCAUUCACGCUUCGCUGUUCAUUCGAGAUCACUCUAUUAGGAAAACGAGUCUUCCCGUAACUUCGUUUGGCAAGCAUUGUGCAACCGAGUGGCGAUGUAUCUAAGGAUGGGAAAUUUCUUCGCCUCGAGAGCGUGACGCGAGUAAUUACUAUUUAAAUGGUCCCAAGUGGUUAAAACAGAUGCUCGAAUGGUUAGGAGAGAUGGGAAUCUGGUGCAAUUGAGUUUAGCAAGGUGUGCCAAUGGCACUUACGAGGGACAGUAGUUGCACACGUAGCUGAAAUAAGGUCGGCCACGUGGUCCUCUGGUGCCGUUGCACUUUGCCCAACCGCAACCAACGCGAUGAGUCGACGCCCAAACCAUUUGCGUAUAAUGGCCGACCUUGCUCAGGUCGUUCUUUGCUCGUGGUCCAUACUUGAAGAGCUGAUUCUCCAAAUACCACGCUUUUAUGGCGAAGAACCUGAAACACACGGAAAGACAAAUGCCUCGGCUAAGUUCCAGAUUUGGCAAAAGGCCACAUCGCUUCCGAAUUAAUUCGAAUGCUACAAAAUUCAGACGGAAGGAUUAUGGAAGAAGAAGAAAACUGCAAACGUUGAUUCGAUGCGGAUAAUCUGAAAACACGGUGAUUGUCGAUUCGGAUGGAGCCAACAGGUGGCUCAUCUGGCGAGUGGUGUGCGCUACGAACGACAAAAGCUGUGGGUGAAACUGUUGCGGAGAUUUCGAUAUACAUUGAGGACAGUUGAGAGGUGGGUUCGAGGUUGAAUGAUUCGUGCGGGACACGAGGAGAACGAAAGGAUGAGGCGGCGAGUUGCAUAUUCACGAGGACAGAUAAAUGUUGAAAGGGAGAAAAAGUUUUGGGCCAGGCCAGCCCGAGAAGUUUGGUCGACGAAAAAUGCUGACGCGUACGCUAUGUGUGGAACUGGCAAGAUUUCUUCAGACCAGCCUCGCAGAUUCCAAACGUUUGUCCGUCCGCUUUGCUACGGCUAUAAAAUUAAAUGAGCUUCAAUAGAGCGUGUGCAUUCGAAAGCGUGUUCCGAGCGAUACGGGUCUGCCAAAUCGCGGAGCCCUGCUACGCGGUUUCCACAAGAUAUUUUCCAGUUUCUCGGUUUUACUUGGGAGAGUCUCUCAGAGAUUGGAUCGAGCAGAAAAUCGCACGACACGGGUCGAGCGUGGGCGUUCCAGUGGCACGAUGUUGCAAUUUCCUGCAACGCUCCUAUACCAACCGAGACGAGGAUGGGAGACGACCGCGUUCUCUGCACGACGCGCUUAUAUACCCGAGAUGUAUACAACGAACUGGGCCACUUUCCUAAACUGUCGUCUCCUUUCCGGGCCGCAUGUAAUAUCUCCGAUUCGAUUCGACCGCCUGCAACUCCUUUCGCUUCCGAUGUCAUUUGUGAUUCGACAUUUUCCGUUGAAAACUAAGCAAAAAUCAGGUGACCGCUCCGCUCCGUUGCACCAGCAUCUUGGCUUCUAUGGGCAAAACACAUCGAGCUCGGACCAAGUUUACAUACUUUUCACACCGUAUAUUCUGAUCUGAACGAAUUCGACGUUCCGGCACUAAAUUAAUCCUGGAGACACGAAAUGGUUGAUUCAAUAUUGAACGGCAAAACGCCGCCGCUGAAUCAAUCAAUGUUCCAAUAAUGAAGGAGCAACGUUUCGAGGCUUUCAAGGACUUGGAGUACUCUCCGGCUACUUUUCGUGGUUAAUCUUUUGCACUUGAGAAUGUGGUUUACUCAAUACCGCCACUAACCGAAACCAACGAAUGGAAGAGGAUUAAGAGAAUAAGGCGAGAGGCGAGUGCAGCAGAACAAAAAAGAGAGCGGUGAGCCGCGGAGCUUGAGAAGAUGGGCGAGUUACGUCUUUAUGAAUUUUUUACAGCGUACCUCGCUCCUCCGCUCCGUGUUGCUAAGUGGCUCGGUAACUCAGCGGUGGCGUGAAAAUCGUAGCUUCGAGAUUUAUAACGGUUCUUAGGAAAAAAUAGCCCUGGGAAAUGUCAGAAACAGCGGGAAGAUUAAGACGAAAAAAGGUUGCAAGUGCCUCGAAAAUACCGCCAACUAAAACACCACCGGGAUGCGAAAGGAUGAGGCGAUAAGCAAAACGAAGCAGUCGCUGUAAAAACGGAAUAACGGAUGAGAAUCAAGAAUCUUCGACUCACCAUGGGACUUGAGCGGUUGAUAUGAAAAUAUUUUGGCCACAACUUCCGAAUGCAUCGAUGUGUCGUCCAGUGGCAUUGUCGUGGGUCAGAGCGUAGCAAGCUUCGGCCCAUCGUUGUGCCGCUUUAGCGGCUCCAUUGUGCCAUUUCUGUAACAUGAAACAAGACAAAUCGAUGGGUCUCGAGUUCCAACUCGUCGUUUCAGGUAUAACAUUCGACACUGGAACAUGGCAUCGUAAAAUUUUCGAUCUGAACGUGAAUCUCUGAAGAAAUUCGAUCCCGUAUAAAAACUCGAACUCCGCGUGGAUCACAACUCCACCCUUUUUUCACGUCUCGAGAUGAUCGCAAAGGUGGCAACGAAACGAGUAGACGAAAUUCGAAAUAAAAUUCGCUUGACUUGUGGAAGAAUCUCUCGCUCACCGGAAAUGGAGUGACGCCAAGCAGAGAGCAGAAGGCAAAAGAGAUGAGGUAUAUAACUCCGGAGCAUCGAGCGAAUACGAUAUUACGAAUGAAUGCUCUUUGGAAUGUUGAAUUUCCAUAUUGUACGAACCGAGAAUCGAGAACAGAAUGUACGAUAGGAAAAUGGCGGAGAGCAUUAGAUCGUAGAGUCUAUUUACAGGAGAUUUCGCACUUUUCAAUUCGACGAGCCCAGCAAUGCGAGCUGCUUUUUUCUCUCGUGGCUUGUCAAAAAAACGUUUGAAAGUAAAUAAGGACCAAUUACUGUCAUUCAGAGGAAUCGAAUACGUUUGAAAAAUGUGUUGAGGCCUCUCAUGAAUUCUCUCAAAUAUCAAAAUCAUGGUAAACCGAUUUUUCAUAGCACAAAAAAUAAAUGCAUUUAUUCAUAAGCGUGAAAUAAUGAAUAUUGAAUGAGACGAUAAAAAAAAUGGCGACCCCGUUUUCACGGAAAUUUAUUAACGCAUAUACAAUUCCUGUGUGUGCUCAUUAUGCAUGAAAGUUGGCGUUUUUUCGACAAACGCGUUUUGCUCGCUUGGAAAUCUUAUUCGUUUAAAUUUAAAUAACAAAUUCGAAACUGCGCGGCUUAAGGAUUACGUAACGUUUUCGUUUUUCAAGUAGCAAAGAUCGCACAAAGUGUAAUAAAGUAAUUUACUCUGUGAGCUUGUUAAUUAUGUUGAAAAUAAUUAAGCAAAUUAUUUUCGUGUUCGUGAUUA